AUGACGAUCCUUAGCUGGAACUAUCGGGGUCUAGGGCAGCCUCGCACAGUUCAAGAGCUCGUGUGCCUAGUGCAUACAUAUAUGCCCAAGCUCGUCUUCCUCACUGAGACACGGCAAAGCAAUAAGUAUGUCAGCAACCUCAAGUGGAGGCUAGGCCUCCGUCACUGUAUCACGCAAUCCAACAUCAGAAAAGGUGUCCGCAUUGCUCUCUUUUAUGAUGAGAAUGUCGAAAUAAAGAAAACUGUCGUAGGGGCGAGAUACAUCGAUGUCUUAAUUUGCCUAAAUCCGAAUGGGCUCCAAUGGUGUGGUACCUUUGUCUAUGGUGAACCAAAAGCACAUGAGUGA
rnacentral:rRNA from 1 species